rnacentral:rRNA from 1 species
ACGGGUGAGUAAUAUAUCGGAACGUACCCUGGAGUGGGGGAUAACGUAGCGAAAGUUACGCUAAUACCGCAUACGAUCUACGGAUGAAAGUGGGGGAUCGCAAGACCUCAUGCUCGUGGAGCGGCCGAUAUCUGAUUAGCUAGUUGGUAGGGUAAAAGCUCUACCAAGGCAUCGAUCAGUAGCUGGUCUGAGAGGACGACCAGCCACACUGGAACUGAGACACGGUCCAGACUCCUACGGGAGGCAGCAGUGGGGAAUUUUGGACAAUGGGCGAAAGCCUGAUCCAGCAAUGCCGCGUGAGUGAAGAAGGCCUUCGGGUUGUAAAGCUCUUUUGUCAGGGAAGAAACGGUGAGAGCUAAUAUCUCUUGCUAAUGACG